AUCCACCUCUCGUCCAAACAGGAUCCCGGUUCCGGACCCAGGCGUACCCGCCCUGCCUGAGAUGACCACCUCAACGUCAUCUCCCUCAUGUUGGCCACCCGAAUGGGCCAAUCUCAGCCUGCAUUGGACAUCUUGUUUCCCCUCCCCUUCCACAAAAACUUAGCCGGACAUCAUGUUCAUUCUCAUGGCAAUUUCUUAACACAAUCAAAACGGCAACAAUGAGGAAACAAACAAACACAGAACAGGAACACAACGAUGUUGCCAAUAGGCAACAUGCUCACCGGAACAACGGUGGCACGAUGCUGGAGCGGAGACGCCGCGGGAAUCACCAAUGAAUAUGUGUAGAUGUAUAUAUAUAUAUAUAUAUGUAUGUAUCGGUAAGUAUGAUUAAAUAAUGUGUGAUUAGUGUAUAGUGUAUGUAAUGUAGUUAUAUGUAAAUGUGCAAAUUAAUCGCUUAA